UUAGCGAGUGCAUGCUGGGAGCUCCAGGCUUCAGGAAGACUGUCAACACAAACACUAACUGCAUAUCAGCCUUUCUUGCAAGUUUGCAGUUAGUUUCAGUUCAUGUUUGCAUUCCUAUUCAUCUCAGUGGCACAGUUAGGCUUACUGUAUGUGAAAUGAAAUCUGCCAUCUUGUUAUGAACUGAUGAACGUGAACACAGUCUCAAACCUUCAGCAGUAUGAUGCCAACAAAAGCAGACGGGAAACGAUUAGUGUUCUGCGCCUGUGGUUUGCGUUUCCUCACUGAACUCUCUGCUGCCCCCUCUGACGGAGACUGAUCGCUGCCAGUGGCCGCUCCGUCGCUCAUCGCUCCUUCCUCUUCGGUCGACUCGUCUCCAGACACUCGUUCGCUCUCGUUGUCCAGGAACCACCCACCGGAUCCUCAAAAGAGCCGCAGAAUCGACCAGUGUUACACAACUCGCCGUUGUAUAAUGCCGAGUAUCAGUCCCAUAAAGAGCGUAAUGAUGGCAAAAAUCACAUAAGAGCCCCAGGAAGGGAUACCGAGCGUAUUCGUCAGACAGAAGAGGUUGUAUUUACAGAAGAGAGGAUGGCGACUUCCAUCCUGGCACCGGCUCAACCAUCGCCCACUUUUUCUGCUCAACAUACGCCUGGAUCUCCUCAAUGACCUGCAGAACAAAAGAAGAGGACGGAUAUAUUGAUGCAGAAACACAGAGAGAAGAGCGAGCACAUCCUAUACCGGCCAAAGAAAUCCCUUCGGCAUGGGAAGGCGCUGAGAUUUCCACAGAAACACAUGAGAGAGACGCCAUUCAAGCCCCGUUGCAGGUGGAAGCACAGGACAACAGACUCCGCGUCACCUGCAUCAUUAGCCGCUUGAAUGCAAUCUUUGCUUGCAUUCAAAAUGCAAUUAGCGUUCAAAGGGAAUGGUCUAAACGGGUCUGGAUCUAAUGGUAUUAAUAAUAAAGGCUUUCAUCUGCUUGUGAUGUCACUCAAUGGCACACAUCAAAUAUAGCUGAUAAUAACUACAGGAGGAAUUUAAAUGAGUGAUGUUAAGUCUAAUUCCUUUUAAAGUCCCACAGUAGUUCAUUCGAGCCACAUGACUAAACUUAAAGAGCUCUGUGUGCAAACAAUCCAGCAGUGUUUGAUAUAAAUGCCAGACACACUGCUGUUGAUCAGACUGGACGCAAACACAACGUUCAUGCUAUUGAUAGUAUCUUACGCGCAUAAUUAUUUGCAACGGCUUUGAAUGUGCCACAUCCUGUUUUACCAUAUUAGCGUCACUGUUGAAGUCUUGUUUUAACUUGGAUGUUGCAUAAUGAGAAGAUGUUUUUGCACUGAUCUCAGACCAAUCGUAUCCAUCAAGUUCCAAAUAAAAUAACAAAUUAUAAAAAAAACACAAGCAUUUCAUUCACUUGCUUUGACAAAACAUAUGUAUUACCAUAUAUCAUUAUUUAAAAUGCAACAUAUAAACCAGUAACUAUUGUGAUAUAUAAAAAGUG